CGUAGGGUGCGAGCGUUAAUCGGAAUUACUGGGCGUAAAGCGUGCGCAGGCGGUUUUGUAAACCAGAUGUGAAAUCCCCGGGCUUAACCUGGGAAUGGCAUUUGGGACUGCAAGGCUGGAGUUUGGCAGAGGAGACUGGAAUUCCCGGUGUAGCAGUGAAAUGCGUAGAUAUCGGGAGGAAUACCGAUGGCGAAGGCAGGUCUCUGGGCUAUAACUGACGCUCAUGCACGAAAGCGUGGGGAGCAAACAGGAUUAGAUACCCUGGUAGUCCACGCCCUAAACGAUGUCGACUGGUUGUUGGGGGUUUGACACUCUCAGUAACGAAGCUAACGCGUGAAGUCGACGCCUGGGGAGUACGGCCGCAAGGUUA
rnacentral:rRNA from 1 species